UACGUAGGGGGCAAGCGUUGUCCGGAUCUAUUGGGCGUAAAGAGCGUGUAGGCGGCCAGACAGGUCCGUUGUGAAAACUAGAGGCUUAACCUCUAGACGUCGAUGGAAACCGUCUGGCUAGAGUCCGGAAGAGGAGAAUGGAAUUCCUGGUGUAGCGGUGAAAUGCGCAGAUAUCAGGAAGAACACCCGUGGCUAAGGCGGUUCUCUAGUACGGUACUGACGCUGAGACGCGAAAGCGUGGGGAGCGAACAGG
rnacentral:rRNA from 1 species